CAGUAGCCGCGGUAAUACGUAGGGUGCAAGCGUUAAUCGGAAUUACUGGGCGUAAAGCGUGCGCAGGCGGUUUUGUAAGACAGAGGUGAAAUCCCCGGGCUCAACCUGGGAACUGCCUUUGUGACUGCAAGGCUAGAGUACGGCAGAGGGGGAUGGAAUUCCGCGUGUAGCAGUGAAAUGCGUAGAUAUGCGGAGGAACACCGAUGGCGAAGGCAAUCCCCUGGGCCUGUACUGACGCUCAUGCACGAAAGCGUGGGGAGCAAACAGGAUUAGAUACCCCGGUAGUCCCUGUCUCUUAUAA
rnacentral:rRNA from 1 species